rnacentral:rRNA from 1 species
AUGAACGCUAGCGACAGGCUUAACACAUGCAAGUCGAGGGGCAGCGGGGGUAGCAAUACCCGCCGGCGACCGGCGCACGGGUGAGUAACGCGUAUGCAACUUACCUAUCAGAGGGGGAUAACCCGGCGAAAGUCGGACUAAUACCGCAUGAAGCAGGGAUCCCGCAUGGGAAUAUUUGCUAAAGAUUCAUCGCUGAUAGAUAGGCAUGCGUUCCAUUAGGCAGUUGGCGGGGUAACGGCCCACCAAACCGACGAUGGAUAGGGGUUCUGAGAGGAAGGUCCCCCACAUUGGUACUGAGACACGGACCAAACUCCUACGGGAGGCAGCAGUGAGGAAUAUUGGUCAAUGGCCGAGAGGCUGAACCAGCCAAGUCGCGUGAGGGAUGAAGGUUCUAUGGAUCGUAAACCUCUUUUAUAAGGGAAUAAAGUGCGGGACGUGUCCCGUUUUGUAUGUACCUUAUGAAUAAGGAUCGGCUAACUCCGUGCCAGCAGCCGCGGUAAUACGGAGGAUCCGAGCGUUAUCCGGAUUUAUUGGGUUUAAAGGGUGCGUAGGCGGCCUUUUAAGUCAGCGGUGAAAGUCUGUGGCUCAACCAUAGAAUUGCCGUUGAAACUGGGGGGCUUGAGUAUGUUUGAGGCAGGCGGAAUGCGUGGUGUAGCGGUGAAAUGCAUAGAUAUCACGCAGAACCCCGAUUGCGAAGGCAGCCUGCCAAGCCAUGACUGACGCUGAUGCACGAAAGCGUGGGGAUCAAACAGGAUUAGAUACCCUGGUAGUCCACGCAGUAAACGAUGAUCACUAGCUGUUUGCGAUACACUGUAAGCGGCACAGCGAAAGCGUUAAGUAAUCCACCUGGGGAGUACGCCGGCAACGGUGAAACUCAAAGGAAUUGACGGGGGCCCGCACAAGCGGAGGAACAUGUGGUUUAAUUCGAUGAUACGCGAGGAACCUUACCCGGGUUUGAACGCAUUCGGACCGAGGUGGAAACACCUUUUCUAGCAAUAGCCGUUUGCGAGGUGCUGCAUGGUUGUCGUCAGCUCGUGCCGUGAGGUGUCGGCUUAAGUGCCAUAACGAGCGCAACCCUUGCCACUAGUUACUAACAGGUAAAGCUGAGGACUCUGGUGGGACUGCCAGCGUAAGCUGCGAGGAAGGCGGGGAUGACGUCAAAUCAGCACGGCCCUUACAUCCGGGGCGACACACGUGUUACAAUGGCGUGGACAAAGGGAAGCCACCUGGCGACAGGGAGCGAAUCCCCAAACCACGUCUCAGUUCGGAUCGGAGUCUGCAACCCGACUCCGUGAAGCUGGAUUCGCUAGUAAUCGCGCAUCAGCCAUGGCGCGGUGAAUACGUUCCCGGGCCUUGUACACACCGCCCGUCAAGCCAUGGGAGCCGGGGGUACCUGAAGUCCGUAACCGCGAGGAUCGGCCUAGGGUA